GAUGAACGCUAGCGGCAGGCCUAAUACAUGCAAGUCGAACGGUGUCUUCGGACAUAGUGGCGCACGGGUGCGUAACACGUAUGCAACCUACCUUACAUUGGGGGAUAGCCUUUCGAAGGGGAGAUUAAUACCGCAUAAGACAGUAGCUGGGCAUCCAGCAGCUGUUAAAGAUUUAUCGAUGUAAGCUGGGCAUGCGUCCAAUUAGCUAGUUGGUGAGGUAACGGCUCACCAAGGCAAUGAUUGGUAGGGGAACUGAGAGGUCAAUCCCCCACACUGGCACUGAGAUACGGGCCGGACUCCUACGGGAGGCAGCAGUAGGGAAUAUUGGGCAAUGGACGCAAGUCUGACCCAGCCAUGCCGCGUGCAGGAUGAAGGCGUUAUGCGUUGUAGACUGCUUUUAUACAGGAAGAAACGACUCUUGCGAGAGGCAUUGACGGUACUGUAUGAAUAAGCACCGGCUAACUCCGUGCCAGCCGCCGCGGUAAAAC
rnacentral:rRNA from 1 species